AGUGGCGGACGGGUGAGUAACGCGUAAGAAUCUAACUUCAGGACGGGGACAACAGUGGGAAACGACUGCUAAUACCCGAUGUGCCGCAAGGUGAAACCUAAUUGGCCUGAAGAAGAGCUUGCGUCUGAUUAGCUAGUUGGUGGGGUAAGAGCCUACCAAGGCGACGAUCAGUAGCUGGUCUGAGAGGAUGAGCAGCCACACUGGGACUGAGACACGGCCCAGACUCCUACGGGAGGCAGCAGUGGGGAAUUUUCCGCAAUGGGCGAAAGCCUGACGGAGCAACGCCGCGUGAGGGAGGAAGGUCUUUGGAUUGUAAACCUCUUUUCUCAAGGAAGAAGUUCUGACGGUACUUGAGGAAUCAGCCUCGGCUAACUCCGUGCCAGCAGCCGCGGUAAUACGGGGGAGGCAAGCGUUAUCCGGAAUUAUUGGGCGUAAAGCGUCCGCAGGUGGUCAGCCAAGUCUGCUGUCAAAUCAGGUUGCUUAACGACCUAAAGGCGGUGGAAACUGGCAGACUAGAGAUCAGUAGGGGUAGCAGGAAUUCCCAGUGUAGCGGUGAAAUGCGUAGAGAUUGGGAAGAACAUCGGUGGCGAAAGCGUGCUACUGGGCUGUAUCUGACACUCAGGGACGAAAGCUAGGGGAGCGAAAGGGAUUAGAUACCCCUGUAGUCCUAGCCGUAAACGAUGGAUACUAGG
rnacentral:rRNA from 1 species